UCAAGGGAAUGCUGCUGUCAAGGUUAUGUGCCGCUUAUGCUUCUCUGGAGAAAACGAGGGCAGCUCAAAAGCUGCCAAAAUGGUUCCAUGCAAACUCUGCAACAAGAAGUAUCAUAAGAAGUGUGUGAAAAAUUGGGGUGAACAUAGAGGUAAUUUAAAAAAUUAUUCCCUGCGUGCGUCUUAAAAACAUUGUCUUCUGUAUCCUUUGAUGAUAUCCAUUCCAUCUAGAUCUCUUCCACUGGAGCUCGUGGAUCUGUUCAUCUUGCCGCAGCUGUGAGGUUGGUUGUCUAUAACAUCAUUAUCCUUACCUUGUACAUGUGUAUUUCCCAAUCAGAGUUUUUGUGACACCAGAAGUAUUUAAGGGUGUGUUUGAUUGAAGGGAUUGAGUGGCUGUGGGUAUCUCCAACCACCUGGUUAGGGAUAGCCACUUUUUUUGUUUGGUUGAGUAGAAUGCACAAGUGGUUGAAGAUAACCACUGCGUGUUUGGUUUGAGGGAUGAACGGACGAGUGGUGGUCUGGUGGAUAAGAGUUCGAGUAACCUUCUAUUGAGGUGGUGAGAUUACCUCGUAAUUACAACAUAAAAUUACAUGUUGCUUAUUACAUGGUGCACGUCCAUCAAUGCAACUAGAUAUCCAAUUAUGCCUACUCGAGAAAUGUAAUCCAAGUCAAAUGUGUAUGUAUAUGUGGACAUGGGAACAAAUCAACAGUUGAAUGAAGUUGGGGCAAAAGUUUGCGAGAAACACGAUCGUGGUAUCUCUAAGUUUCAGAUUACAAACACUAAUUUAACUAAGUAUGCAAUCAUUAAAAACUGUAUAUACAGAACAGAAUACUUCACGGUUCAUAUUUACAGCCUACUCAUGUUCGUUGGGGUUGGCAGUUGCCUCAAAAGCAAUUAUGCAACAGAGGAAGACAAAUUCAAUGGGAGGAGGUAACAGACAGAGGUUAGAGGGACUGCCGCUGUGUGCCAUGCGCCCUCAUGCCGCCGGACACGAGCUCACUCAGCGAGCACCUACAAGGCUCUACAUUGAGCCGGCGCCCCACCCCAGGGCAGCGCAGAUGCAUCAUCAGGCUGGCUCCGCCUUUGGUCUUCCUCGCCGUGCUCUUUGGUCGGCCUGCGGCAUGGAUGACUCCGCCGCCCUGCGUGCCCUUGUCGGCCCCGCCACCGUGCCAUGGCUGGCUUCACUGCCUCGCGCCUUGGCCGGCCCUGCCGCCCAGCACCAUCAGGAUCUGCCGCCCCAAGCCCUGGAGGCAGCCACCACCCUCGCCUUUGAUGUGCCACGGUCUCGCGCAAUCUGGGCAGCUGACUAAGUCAAGCGAAGAGGCCAUAUAGCGGAAGAGAGGUGACAGAAGAGAAGAAAACGUUUCGCGGUGAAGCUAGCGAUGCACGCGGGUGCUUGGCUAUGUCCACGAGAUUUUCACGGACGCGCUCAGCCUUGUUUUGAUAGCAUACGGGGAAUCUUGGCUCUACCCAUAUCCCUGGCCAUCCCUUCUCUCUGUUGAACCAAACACCUGAUAACCACCUAAAAAUUGGCUAUUCCUGGCCAUCCGGGGAUAGCCACUGAACCAAACGCACCCUAACAGUUCUCUAGUACUAUUAAUUUUGGCUUCCGUAUGCUGGUACAUGACUAGAGUUUAAAUCCUUUUUGAGUCGGUGCAGUUUAUGAAAGUUGUAGCAUACAUUUUGCAUUAUCUAAGAGCUCUAAUAUUUGUAUAUGCAUCAACUGUUAUUGUGGUGGCCAUUACCUUCCAAAUCAGCAAAUACUUACGUUUGAUCAUAAUUAAUUUUGAAGUUCUCCUCCAUGUUCCUAUAUGAGCAGUUGUAGAGUACUCCCUCUGUCCCAUAUUAAUUGUCGCUGAAACGGAUGUAUCUUGACGUAUUUCAGUGCUAGAUACAUCUGUUUGAGCGACAAUUAAUGUGGGACGGAGGGAGUAGCAUCUUUGCACCGUGUAGAACGUUUGUUAUGCCUUAGUUACCGCCAGCUUUCUUGGUAAAGAGGGAAAUGAACCCAGAUUCUUUGCCUAAUUCUGUGUAAAUAAACACGUAUUUAGGUGUGUCGGCGGCCUGGUGAUCCCAAUAAGUUAAUGUUCUGUAAAAGGUGUGAUGGAGCCUAUCACUGUUACUGUCAGCAACCCUCACACAAGGUACACCUAUUGUGCACCUUCCUCAUUCUGCUUUCUACAAAUUGAAUAUGUGGGGCUCGUCACUUAACAGUGAACUUUACAACGUUGCAGAAUGUUACUCAUGGACCAUAUUUAUGUCCAAAACAUACAAGGUGUCACAGCUGUGGAUCUGGUGUACCUGGGAGUGGCCAUAGCACAAGGUACUUAAACCACUAAUGCGGAUGAAUGAUAUUGUUCUGAAAUUUACUUAAGAUCUUUUUAUCACGUAUUUGCCACUUUAUGUGUCGUGCUUAUAUACGUUAUUGCGAGUUUUGGUGCGCAGGUGGUUUUUGGGGUACACAUGCUGUGAUGCUUGUGGGCGGUUGUUUGUGAAAGGAAACUACUGUCCAGUUUGCUUGAAGGUACCUCCUUCCCUUUUACUCUCUCUUGGCAUGACUACUGUCCUUCUACACAGAACGAUUUUAUCAUGUGCCCUGUUAAAUUUCAGGGUAUUAGAAAAUGUUUUGUUUCUCUCCAGCUGCUCUUUCUCUUCUAAUAUAGUGACCAUAUGCUAUGCGUGAUGCCUUAAAAUGAGGAUCCUGUUUGUCUAUAGCUGAAAGUUUCUUAUUGAGACUUUAUUUGUUAAGUUUAAAAUGUACUAAGCAAUGUUGGGUCAUAUACACCAUAAUGUGUUGCGGAGUUUUUCCAUGCUAACUUCCGCUGAGAUACCUUUUCUGUUGCUUGGUUCACCCCUUUUCAGGUUUAUAGAGAUUCUGAAGUGAUACCUAUGGUUUGCUGCGACGUUUGUGAAAAGUGGGUACAUAUUGAAUGUGAUGGCAUCAGGUCUUUCUGAACGUCAACCCCUCAUUUUGUUUAAAUUAACCCACUCGUAUUUGUUGCCUUCUCUGAAUCUAGUGUUUAGUGCCUUGAUACUUCAAGAUUUUCACUUCUGUGGUGUACUACGCUUUACUGACUUUCCAUAUAAUUAUGCAGCGAGGAAAAGUACCAGCAGUUCCAAGCUGACCAAAAUCUCCAGUAUACAUGCGCAUCAUGCCGUGGUGAAUGCUCCCAGGUAAUAUAUAAUUCUUUCAUGGUUUCUCAUCGCUGUAUUACACUCCCUCCAUUCCAAAAUAAGUGUUGCUGAUUUAGUACUAAAUUAGUAUAAAAUUUGUACCAAAUCAGCGACACUUAUUUUGGGACGGAGGGAAUACUCUGUUAUCUUACGCGCCUUUUGCUCUCUUCAGAUCAGGGAUGCAGAAGAUGCAGUUAGGGAGCUUUGGAAGAGGAGGAACAUUGUUGAUCAUGAUCUUAUGGUUAGUUUAAGGGCUGCUGCUGGACUGCCUUCUUUAGAAGAUGUGACACCUUGUCCAAACUCGGACGAUGAAAGACUCGGUGCAUUAGUAUUGAAAAAUGAUGGUAGAAACACACUAAAAUUCUCUUUCAAAAGUAACAGCAGUAAGCCUCCAUUAGAUCAAUCUGAACAAGAAAAGAAUGUUCCUAAGAACUCAGGGACGAAUAAGAAGCAUUCCAAGAAAAAAGGCAAUCAAGGUAAUAAGUCAGUUGCUGAUCCGAAUGAGAUAUUUCUUGAGAGAAGGCAUGAAGUCAAAUCAAUGAGUAGUCACUUGGGAGAUCAUACUGUAGAUGUUAAUCAUGACAGGAAUUCUUUCAAGAAUAAUGAGAAUGUGUUUGUUUUAUCUUCAACUCGAAGUUCAGAGAAGGAUCUGAAAUCCGCAUCUGCGAAAGCUGCAACAAACAGUGCAGAUAUGAUACCAAAAGUCAAAAUCAAAGGCAGUAAGGUGCCGAGCCUGCAUUUCAAAGAUAUAGGUGAGGAAAAUAAUGCCAAGGGUGACACAGGGAAAGGUACCAAGUUGGUUAUUCAUCUUGGAACCCGUCACAAAAGUAAAAGUGGCUCUCCUAAGUCUGAAAUGUCCAAUUCUCAUAAAGAGCAAGAGCUUGCUUUGAUGCAUGGUACGUGCCUUAUUUUGUUUUGCUUUGCCAUUUAUCUUUUUAGUUUGCUUGAUAUAUUGUAUCUGGCAUGUAUGUACAAACUUCUGUGCUAGUAACUACUAGUAAUUUACUAAUUUGAGACGUUACUAAAGGUCUCCUAUAGACAGCUAUGAAAUUAUAGCUAUUUUGUGGGCAUUUGUCCUCAUAAACUUUCAAUUGACAUAUGUUGCCAUAUUGGCAUAAUUUUAAGAACUGGACUUGUGACCAAACAUGUCAGGAUGCUGGUUCAUCCAGUUUGAUAUUCGGACCAUUAUAUACUCAAAAAUGUUCCAAAUACUGGCCAGUUAAUCGGCAUCUCGGUCAGUUAAUCGCUACUCGGUGUGUUACCGAAUAGCUGAUUAGCUGAUAUAUUGGCCGAUUGACUGGCCAAUUCGUCUAUUUAUCAUAGUUCAAAAAGCGCUGUUAGGCGCUCGCCUAAGCGUGCUUAAGCGGUGGGUGUUGGCAUAACGCCUCGCUUUGGCCCUAAGCGCUCAAAAAGGCGGCUGGCGAGAAAUCAGCCUUCUCCGUCGAGGAAUUGUGUUUCUCAGGCGAGAGAUCAAUCUCCCUGGCGAGGAUUUGACCUCCCUAGGAUUUGACCACUCCGACGACAAAUCGAUCUAUUCCGGCAACGGGUUGAGAUUCUCUGUCGAGAAAUCGAGCUUUGCUGGCUUGUUGCCAUGGGUGCAGCAAGGGAGAGGAAGAGGUAGAGAGGCGGCAUGAGGAGGAUCCCUAACAUUUUUGUUGACUGUGCACACACAGGAGGUUUUAAUAAGAGAAGAAUAAGGAUAGAUGGGCCGGUGCUUUAAUGGGCCAGGUCACCUCAUCUUGCUUAUUUCUUCACACUAGCGAUCGUGUACGGAACUCCUAAUCGCGCCUAAGCAGCGCAUAAGCUAUCAAGGCGCAAAUAGGUGGUCAAACGCAUAAUUUACACCUAGUGCUUUUUUGAACUUUGCUAUUUAUCCCUACUCAACACCUGACCGAUAUGGUACUAGUUACCGAUAUCCUGAACAUUAUAGUAUAUAUAGUAGAAAAAGGCAAAAUAGAAUUUCUUCUAUUGAACAAUAGCUGACCUGAGGCGAGUUGGUUAUCAUAUGCCAUGGUUGGGCUUUGGCCUACUGCCUAGGUGACCCGGGUUCGGAUCAUCCAGCACGGAUUACAUUUUUCUCGCCUCCACCCGUUCCGCUGCCUGGUUUGCACAAAGAUACCCGGUCGACCGCUUUUCACCAGUCCGGUGGCUGGGACGGUGUUAUGACGCUGCUAGAAGGAGGGCGUGAGAGGGCCGGCCGGGGGCCUUUUGCCCACGGCCAGGCAAGAGGGAAGGGAUUUCCUUCUUAAUUCUUGCUUGAUUAGAUUGAUACAUCUCCUCUCCUUAUAUAGAGGUUUACUUGACUCCCAAGCAAGGCUUACUUGACCCCUAAGCAAGCGACCCUUAUCUCUAAUUAACCCUAAGACUAAUGGGCUAUACCGUCAGCCCAGGCCCAUUACGUACUCUACACUACACCCCACCUGGACAUGCAGCUUGUCCUCGAGCACAAACCUAACACCUAAAAACAAGCCUUUUACAUCUCGGCUUGUGUUAUUACUCUCAAACUGAAAUAGACUGGGACGCUUUAUUUUGGACGUGCACGUGUACAGCCAGCUGGAUCCCAUGGACACCACGUGGACAAAAGGAGUGCAUGUGUAUGGCUGUUGGUCUGCACUACAUAGGGAAGAGUGGAGGGCUUGCGAUGGAGAAUGGCGAGGAGGGGUGCGCCCCCCCCAACCGCCGAUAUCGCAGACUUUGAGGUCGCUGCCCACGGGGAAACCAGCAUGCCCGCCGCCCGUGGGGGAAACCGCAUGCCCAAGAUCCCCGACGCAGCGGACGAGAUCGAGGUCGCAGCGAAGGGCAACUUGGAGGAGCGGCAACUGCAGACCACGCAUCUCCCGCACACGCCGACGCGCUAGGAGGCCGCGCGCAGCAGCCUGCAGCCUCACCGCCGCCGACACGUGGCGGGUAGCGAUCUGCGCCGGCGGGGACUUGAUCUGCUGGAUGUGGACGCCCUGGGAUGGCGGCGGCGCUGAUGGGAACAAGGUCGUUGCAGUCCCGUCGUAGGGCAUCCCAUACUGGGCGGCAGAGCUGACCGGCGGUGGCUGCUGCGGUGUCGCGCCGGGCAGCGGCAACGGCUGCUGCGGCAAAGCGCCGGGCGCGGCGGAGGCCGCUAGGAGCGGCGGCUGCCACUGCAGCCAGGGCUGGGCGGUGGUGGCGAUGGAUGGCAGCUGCAGUGGCCCGGCGAAGGCCGCCUGGUGUGGCGGCAGCCACGGCGGCGCGGGGGCGGCGAUGGGCGGCGCAACCUGUAGGACCCGGCCAAGAAUAUGUGGAUCUCCUGGACCGCCUGGGUUAGGUCCUGCAGCACCCCGAACACCUCCUCCGGGGUGAGGACGGCGGGGGCGGGGGCGGGCGCGACGGAGGAUCCCGACGCGGGCAGGAGCGGGGCGACAGUCGUGGUGGUCGCCGGAGGCGACGAGGUGACCGGCAGCGGAAGAGACGGGCUUGGCGGCGGUGAAGACAUGAUCGAACCGAAGCUAGCUGAUACCAAAUUGUUAUGACGCUGCUAGAAGGAGGGCGCGAGAGGGCCGGCCGGGGGCCUUUUGCCCACGGCCAGGCAAGAGGGAAGGGAUUUCCUUCUUAAUUCUUGCUUGAUUAGAUUGAUACAUCUCCUCUCCUUAUAUAGAGAGGUUUACUUGACUCCCAAGCAAGGCUUACUUGACCCCUAAGCAAGCGACCCUUAUCUCUAAUUAACCCUAAGACUAA
rnacentral:lncRNA from 1 species